AUACAUGCAAGUCGAGCGGACCGACGGGAGCUUGCUCCCUUAGGUCAGCGGCGGACGGGUGAGUAACACGUGGGUAACCUGCCUGUAAGACUGGGAUAACUCCGGGAAACCGGGGCUAAUACCGGAUGCUUGAUUGAACCGCAUGGUUCAAUCAUAAAAGGUGGCUUUUAGCUACCACUUACAGAUGGACCCGCGGCGCAUUAGCUAGUUGGUGAGGUAACGGCUCACCAAGGCGACGAUGCGUAGCCGACCUGAGAGGGUGAUCGGCCACACUGGGACUGAGACACGGCCCAGACUCCUACGGGAGGCAGCAGUAGGGAAUCUUCCGCAAUGGACGAAAGUCUGACGGAGCAACGCCGCGUGAGUGAUGAAGGUUUUCGGAUCGUAAAACUCUGUUGUUAGGGAAGAACAAGUACCGUUCGAAUAGGGCGGUACCUUGACGGUACCUAACCAGAAAGCCACGGCUAACUACGUGCCAGCAGCCGCGGUAAUACGUAGGUGGCAAGCGUUGUCCGGAAUUAUUGGGCGUAAAGCGCGCGCAGGCGGUUUCUUAAGUCUGAUGUGAAAGCCCCCGGCUCAACCGGGGAGGGUCAUUGGAAACUGGGGAACUUGAGUGCAGAAGAGGAGAGUGGAAUUCCACGUGUAGCGGUGAAAUGCGUAGAGAUGUGGAGGAACACCAGUGGCGAAGGCGACUCUCUGGUCUGUAACUGACGCUGAGGCGCGAAAGCGUGGGGAGCGAACAGGAUUAGAUACCCUGGUAGUCCAC
rnacentral:rRNA from 1 species